rnacentral:rRNA from 1 species
AUUGAACGCUGGCGGCAUGCUUUACACAUGCAAGUCGAACGGCAGCGCGGGCUUCGGCCUGGCGGCGAGUGGCGAACGGGUGAGUAAUACAUCGGAACGUGCCCAGUAGUGGGGGAUAGCUCGGCGUAAGCCGGAUUAAUACCGCAUACGACCUGAGGGUGAAAGCGGGGGAUCUUCGGACCUCGCGCUAUUGGAGCGGCCGAUGGCAGAUUAGCUAGUUGGUGGGGUAAAGGCCUAGCAAGGCGACGAUCUGUAGCUGGUCUGAGAGGACGACCAGCCACACUGGGACUGAGACACGGCCCAGACUCCUACGGGAGGCAGCAGUGGGGAAUUUUGGACAAUGGGCGAAAGCCUGAUCCAGCAAUGCCGCGUGUGUGAUGAAGGCCUUCGGGUUGUAAAGCACUUUUGGCGGGAACGAAAAGGACUGUGCCAAUACCACGGUUCGAUGACGGUACCCGCAGAAUAAGCACCGGCUAACUACGUG